UACGGAGGAUCCAAGCGUUAUCCGGAUUUAUUGGGUUUAAAGGGUGCGUAGGCGGCCUGUUAAGUCAGGGGUGAAAGACGGUAGCUCAACUAUCGCAGUGCCCUUGAUACUGAUGGGCUUGAAUAAACUAGAGGUAGGCGGAAUGUGACAAGUAGCGGUGAAAUGCAUAGAUAUGUCACAGAACACCAAUUGCGAAGGCAGCUUACUAUGGUUUUAUUGACACUGAGGCACGAAAGCGUGGGGAUCAAACAGG
rnacentral:rRNA from 1 species